UACGUAGGGUGCGAGCGUUAAUCGGAAUUACUGGGCGUAAAGGGUGCGUAGGCGGUUGUUUAAGUCUGUCGUGAAAUCCCCGGGCUCAACCUGGGAAUGGCGAUGGAUACUGGGCAGCUAGAGUGUGUCAGAGGAUGGUGGAAUUCCCGGUGUAGCGGUGAAAUGCGUAGAGAUCGGGAGGAACAUCAGUGGCGAAGGCGGCCAUCUGGACAACACUGACGCUGAAGCACGAAAGCGUGGGGAGCAAACAGG
rnacentral:rRNA from 1 species